GAUGAACGCUGGCGGCGUGCCUAAUACAUGCAAGUCGAGCGAACAGAUAAGGAGCUUGCUCCUUUGACGUUAGCGGCGGACGGGUGAGUAACACGUGGGUAACCUACCUAUAAGACUGGGAUAACUUCGGGAAACCGGAGCUAAUACCGGAUAACAUUUGGAACCGCAUGGUUCUAAAGUGAAAGAUGGUUUUGCUAUCACUUAUAGAUGGACCCGCGCCGUAUUAGCUAGUUGGUAAGGUAACGGCUUGCCAAGGCGACGAUACGUAGCCGACCUGAGAGGGUGAUCGGCCACACUGGAACUGAGACACGGUCCAGACUCCUACGGGAGGCAGCAGUAGGGAAUCUUCCGCAAUGGGCGAAAGCCUGACGGAGCAACGCCGCGUGAGUGAUGAAGGGUUUCGGCUCGUAAAACUCUGUUAUUAGGGAAGAACAAACGUGUAAGUAACUGUGCACGUCUUGACGGUACCUAAUCAGAAAGCCACGGCUAACUACGUG
rnacentral:rRNA from 1 species